GAUGAAUGCUGGCGGCGUGCCUAACACAUGCAAGUCGAGCGGUAAGGCCCUUCGGGGUACACGAGCGGCGGACGGCUGAGUAACGCGUGGGGACAUACCCCAGAGUGAGGGAUAACGCACCGAAAGGUGCGCUAAUACCGCAUAAUCUCUUUGGAGCAAAGCAGUAAUGCGCUUUGGGAAUGGCCUGCGUACGAUUAGAUAGUUGGUGAGGUAAUGGCUUACCAAGUCGACGAUCGUUAGCUGGUCUGAGAGGAUGACCAGUCAGACUGGAACUGAGACACGGUCCAGACUCCUACGGGAGGCAGCAGUGAGGAAUCUUCCACAAUGGGGGCAACCCUGAUGGAGCAACGCCGCGUGCAGGAUGAAGGCCUUCGGGUCGUAAACUGCUUUUAUAAGUGAAGAAUAUGACGGUAACUUAUGAAUAAGCACCGGCUAACUACGUGCCAGCCGCCGCCGUAA
rnacentral:rRNA from 1 species